rnacentral:lncRNA from 1 species
GGGGAAUGUACCAAAGAGACCACAACCCGACCAUAGAACAGACAAUUUUAGCCAAUAUUACGCUCAAUUUGUUUAGGUCACAAUUAUCUAUUUUGAUUUUUGACUUGAGAUCAUUCAGCGUAACAACAAGAUCUCGAGCUGCGUCCAUAGAUUCAUCGAUGUCACAAUAAGAAAGGUUUGACAAAUCGGAAAAAUCAUCUGGGUUUUCCUUUAAGACUAAAAAACAGCGCGC